AGAAAUAAAAAUCAUCACACCACAACCCACAGAUCCACCAUCAAAUAGCCACAUAGAUAGACAAAUAAACACUCGAUCUUUGACUUUUCAUAGUUUCGCUGUCGUAUCGCAUUUAGAAAAAGUUCAUACAUUUUCGUUUAUUCCAGAAAGCACAAAGAGGAAAACAAUGAAUGAUGAUGGGUUUGACAACGAGGGCGCCCAAGUUUAGGUUCCUUUUAUCAUAGCUUCGUGAAGAAGUAUAGGAGAGGCUUCUCUCCAUGAAGGGCGGUUACUUCCAAAUUGGGAUCAUUAUUGAUGUAAUUUUUGUUAGUUUGGAUGCUUGGGUAGUCAUUGGGAGCUUAGAUUAAUUUGUGAAUUUCGCAAAGUGUAGAAUCGCACCAGCUCGAUAAGCUAGAGAUUGAGCUAGCCCACCGAGAGCAAACCUUCAGAGUUAUAACUAGCUAGCUAAGCCAGUAGCAGCCCUACCAAGCGACACAUUCAUAGGUUCUCUUUAGGUUUGUAUUCAACAAAAUCCAUGGCUAAGCUAGAGGCUAUUAUAAAUAAACUAAGGCGAGUAACCAAAAUUUAUUUUAGAGGACUAGCUAUAGCAAGGCUUGUGGCUAAGCCAGUUACCUUCCUGAGAGUGAACUUGAGAAAGUACAGAGGCUAGCUAAGGUAGCGGAUUGGGAUGGCAAGCACAGACACAGCUCCACCCAAGGUUGAUUUUGACUCCCACAAAGCUCAGAUGUGCGCAAAUCUGAUUUCAACGAAGUGAAGAGUUUUGUUGUGCUUUAUUCGAGAAUUAGAAUACAACACUUGGUGGCACAAAAGGGAAAAGAGAAUGAAAGAUGUAUGGGGAUGAGAAGACAUGAAGUAAUGGUGGCAUGACAGUGGCGGUUUGAAGGUGGCGGUGGUGAGGUCCUGUCUUGGUGUUCUAGGUAUUUUGAAGGAGAAGAGAAUGGGGAUGGUGUAGCUCUUGCCAUGUGGUUGGGGUUUGGCACGAGGUCAUGAUGGUGGUUUAAGGUUGUGGUGGUAAUAAGGUCAAGGAAGAAAAGAGAUUUUAAGGGUUUGAGGAGUAGAGACCAGGCAAGAGCAAAAUGGACUUCUCAAAUUACUUCAAGCCAAGAAGCAACAAUCCCUUUGAGAUAUUGGGUGGACAAUGAACAAAAGCGUGUAGUUAUGGCAGAAGCAAGUGGAGACUUUGUUGAUGUUCUCUUUAGUUUCCUGAUCCCUUCCAUUGGGAACUAUCAUCCGGCUUGGGAAUCAAUUUAACCAACCGGUACAGAUUGGUAGCAUCAACAAUCUGUACGAGAGUGUGCAAAAUUUGAGUCCUGAUGUUUUCUGGAAAUGUUGCUUUCUCCACGCAACCCGUUAGAAGCCUCUUACCAGGGACUAAAAGUGAAGGUGGAUGACACAGAGCCCAAAAAGUAUUUCAUUUGUCACAGCUGUUCAAAAGGAAGUGAUUUGUUGCUGAGUAGUUUUGAAGGGGCAAGGUGUUCCUGUAGAAAAUUGAUGCAAAAGAAAAUGGAGCUGCUGGAAGAGUCCAAGGACGAGGCUUCUGUGGUCGACGGUAUUUUCGUUAAAGGGGAUGCCAUGUUCUUGAUCUUUGAUGACUUGACAGUGCUCCGAAGCUCCCCAAGUGACUCUGUACAACGGCCCCUCCAACUUGGACACAAAAACUUCAGCAGCAAGAUGGAAGAAAAGUAUAGAGACGUUGGCACGAAGGAGAUGCUUGUGGCCCAUUUCAUUGGAAAGGUUCUCCAGAAAUCAAGAUAAUGUUUAGCAAAUCAAAGAACGAGAUUCUGUUUGCUGGAGCAGAGGGAGAUUUGUGGAUUUUCUAGUUAGCUUCUUCACAGAGAACCUCUUGGAUCUAUUCUAAACCUUAUGAAUGGCAAGUUAUCGUUGGGAAGCAUUGAUAACUUGUGCACAAGUGUGAAGAAUCUCAACCCAUCAUGGUUCAUCGGGUCAUGAAACAAAUCCUUACUGAUUAAUCCAAGGGUCGCUCCUAAAUUUGGUUGUAAGAUCAAUCCACUAAAUGUUUUACAAGAAGACGACGCUCCUAAGUAUUGGUGUGGCACUGUAGCAGAUAAAGAUAAUGAGGGACGUACAAUGAUUUCAAAGAAAAAUGAUAUGCUACAAUAUCCAGCAAAAAACCUGAAACUUUUUGAGCCAAGGUGUUCUGAUGGAGCAAAAGAAGCUGGUGUGGGAUUUAUGAAGAGGCCGUGUCUAUUUGUUGUGAUGGAUGAUCUGAAAGUGAUACCAAUGACAACUACUUCUAGCAUUGAGUAUCUGCAAAAGCUGGAGGAGGAGAAUGUCGAGUUGGAUGAUUUGGUGGAAAUCAGGAAGAGACUCGAGGCACUAAACCUGUUGAGGGCUUCUUUGACAUCCGACAAAGCUGCUUUCACACGCAGCUUGUUCUACCUAUUGAAGAAGUGGAAAUGCCAAAGGUGCAUUCCCUUUUAUGGUGUAUAUGUAUGCAAGAAAAAGAGAAGCAGAAAGAAAAAAGUAAUGGAAGAGAAAGAAAGUGAGAGAUAAUAAUAACGUUUAAUUAUUUUCAAGUCUUUGAAUUUUUUUAUCAAAUUUUUAAUUAGAUCUCUUGUUUUUUAUUUUAAUUUAGUCCAUGAACUUGUAUUUAUUUUUAAACUAGUGAUGACCCAUCCCAUGCAAUAGCAGAUUGUUUUACUCAUCUGUA